rnacentral:rRNA from 1 species
AGUGAACGCUGGCGGUAGGCCUAACACAUGCAAGUCGAACGGCAGCACAGUAAGAGCUUGCUCUUACGGGUGGCGAGUGGCGGACGGGUGAGGAAUACAUCGGAAUCUACUUUUUCGUGGGGGAUGACGUAAGGAAACUUACGCUAAUACCGCAUACGCCCUACGGGUGAAAGCAGGGGAUCUUCGGACCUUGCGCGAUUGAAUGAGCCGCUGUCGGAUUAGCUAGUUGGCGGGGUAAAGGCCCACCAAGGCGCCGAUCCGUAGCUGGUCUGAGAGGAUGAUCAGCCACACUGGAACGGAGACACGGUCCAGACGACUAAGGGAGGCAGCAGUGGGGAAUAUUGGACAAUGGGCGCAAGCCUGAUCCAGCCAUACCGAGUGGGUGAAGAAGGCCUUCGGGGUGUAAAGCCCGUUUGUUGGGAAAGAAAAGCAGCAGGUUAAUACCCCGCUGUUCUGACGGUACCCAAAGAAUAAGCACCGGCUAACUUCGUG